CAGCAGCCGCGGUAAUACAGAGGGUGCGAGCGUUAAUCGGAUUUACUGGGCGUAAAGCGUGCGUAGGCGGCUUUUUAAGUCGGAUGUGAAAUCCCUGAGCUUAACUUAGGAAUUGCAUUCGAUACUGGGAAGCUAGAGUAUGGGAGAGGAUGGUAGAAUUCCAGGUGUAGCGGUGAAAUGCGUAGAGAUCUGGAGGAAUACCGAUGGCGAAGGCAGCCAUCUGGUUUAAUACUGACGCUGAGGUACGAAAGCAUGGGGAGCAAACAGGAUUAGAUACCCCCGUAGUCCCUGUCUCUUAUAC
rnacentral:rRNA from 1 species